rnacentral:rRNA from 1 species
GACGAACCGUGCGAGCGUUGUUCGGAUUCACUGGGCUUAAAGGGCGCGUAGGCGGGCGGUCAAGUCGGGGGUGAAAUCUUUCAGCUUAACUGGAAAAGUGCCUCCGAUACUGAUCGCCUCGAGGGAGGUAGGGGCAUGUGGAACUUCCGGUGGAGCGGUGAAAUGCGUAGAUAUCGGAAGGAACGCCGGUGGCGAAAGCGACGUGCUGGACCUCUUCUGACGCUGAGGCGCGAAAGCUAGGGGAGCAAACGGG